AACGAACGCUGGCGGCAGGCCUAACACAUGCAAGUCGAGCGAGGACUUCGGUUCUAGCGGCGGACGGGUGAAUAACGCGUGGGAAUGUGCCCUUCUCUACGGAAUAGCCCUGGGAAACUGGGAGUAAUACCGUAUACGCCCUAUUGGGGAAAGAUUUAUCGGAGAAGGAUCAGCCCGCGUUGGAUUAGGUAGUUGGUGGGGUAAUGGCCUACCAAGCCGACGAUCCAUAGCUGGUUUGAGAGGAUGAUCAGCCACACUGGGACUGAGACACGGCCCAGACUCCUACGGGAGGCAGCAGUGGGGAAUCUUAGACAAUGGGGGCAACCCUGAUCUAGCCAUGCCGCGUGAGUGAUGAAGGCCUUAGGGUUGUAAAGCUCUUUCAGCUGGGAAGAUAAUGACGGUACCAGCAGAAGAAGCCCCGGCUAACUCCGUG
rnacentral:rRNA from 1 species